rfam:Actinospica robiniae DSM 44927 genomic scaffold ActroDRAFT_ARA.1, whole genome shotgun sequence.
GCGCCGUUAGCUCAAUAGGCAGAGCAGCUGACUCUUAAUCAGCGGGUUCGGGGUUCAAGUCCCUGACGGCGCA